GUCGCGGUAGUUCAGUUGGUUAGAAUACCGGCCUGUCACGCCGGGGGUCGCGGGUUCGAGCCCCGUCCGCUCCGCCA
rnacentral:tRNA from 1 species